rnacentral:rRNA from 1 species
GACGAACGCUGGCGGCGCGCUUAACACAUGCAAGUCGAGCGAAGCGGCGGACGGGUGAGUAACACGUGAGUAACCUGCCUUAGACAUUGGGAUAGCCUCGGGAAACCGGGAUUAAUACCAAAUGGUCUAAGAUGGACUCGCGUCCCAUUAGCUAGUUGGUGAGGUAACGGCCCACCAAGGCGACGAUGGGUAGCCGGCCUGAGAGGGUGAACCGACACAUUGGAACUGAGAAACGGUCCAAACUCUGCGGGAGGCAGCAGUGGGGAAUAUUGCACAAUGGAGGGAACUCUGAUGACGCGCGGCCGGGUGAACGAAGAAGGCUUGCGAGUCGUAAAGUUCUUUUAUAUGGGAAGCGGUACCAUAAGAAAAAGCCCCGGCUAACUACGUGCCAGCCGCCGCGGUAAUUC